GCUUCGCUUUUUAUUGGUAUACGUGGAACUGAAAAGCAAACAGAUCCACUGAAGUGUUGUGUUUUUUGCACCUAUCAUCACCCUCAAGUCUCCGUAUAACGUGUGGUAAAAAAUGGGGCAAUGGAGAAAUGACAUAUUCAAUGGACAGGGCACUAUAAUUCAUUGUUCCUGUGACAUCUGUGAUAGACUGUGGAUCAAUGGGUGCACUGCUGAUUGGCUGCUCUGUGUUUUGCUUAGAAGAAAAGCCAAGCUUACACAUAUGGAAGAUUGCCAGAUACUCUAAACCCUAUUUUGGUUAAAUUACAGUACCCAUAUUUUGAUAACAAAGCACAUUGAUUUCAUAUUCAAAAAGAUUUUUAUAUUUAGUCUGUUAACCUUUUGUAAUUCCCACCCACAGCUUUAAACUGUAGAACAUUUUUAUGCUAAUUGUUGUCAGUAGGGUAUCUGCCGUGGCCCCUUGGCAAUUUAAAUCCAUUGAAUUGUAAUGCAGGUGCUGAUAAUUGGAGAACUGUUAUUGUUUGGCUGCAGAAUGUGCGUCUCAACUCUUUGCAAAUUGGAUUUAAGAACUCUUAAAAAUCCCAUAUUUGAAGACAAACUUGCUUUGUUUUAAUUAAUAAUAAAAGGAAG
ensembl:lncRNA